GACGAACGCCGGCGGCGUGCCUAAUACAUGCAAGUAGAACGCUGAAGAGAGGAGCUUGCUCUUCUUGGAUGAGUUGCGAACGGGUGAGUAACGCGUAGGUAACCUGCCUUGUAGCGGGGGAUAACUAUUGGAAACGAUAGCUAAUACCGCAUAACAAUGGAUGACACAUGUCAUUUAUUUGAAAGGGGCAAUUGCUCCACUACAAGAUGGACCUGCGUUGUAUUAGCUAGUAGGUGAGGUAACGGCUCACCUAGGCGACGAUACAUAGCCGACCUGAGAGGGUGAUCGGCCACACUGGGACUGAGACACGGCCCAGACUCCUACGGGAGGCAGCAGUAGGGAAUCUUCGGCAAUGGGGGCAACCCUGACCGAGCAACGCCGCGUGAGUGAAGAAGGUUUUCGGAUCGUAAAGCUCUGUUGUAAGUCAAGAACGAGUGUGAGAGUGGAAAGUUCGCACUGUGACGGUAGCUUACCAGAAAGGGACGGCUAACUACGUGCCAGCAGCCGCGGUAAUACGUAGGUCCCGAGCGUUGUCCGGAUUUAUUGGGCGUAAAGCGAGCGCAGGCGGUUUGAUAAGUCUGAAGUUAAAGGCUGUGGCUCAACCAUAGUUCGCUUUGGAAACUGUCAAACUUGAGUGCAGAAGGGGAGAGUGGAAUUCCAUGUGUAGCGGUGAAAUGCGUAGAUAUAUGGAGGAACACCGGUGGCGAAAGCGGCUCUCUGGUCUGUAACUGACGCUGAGGCUCGAAGGCGUGGGGAGCGAACAGG
rnacentral:rRNA from 1 species